rnacentral:rRNA from 1 species
GGACUGAGACACGGCCCAGACUCCUGCGGGAGGCAGCAGUAGGGAAUUUUCGUCAAUGGGCGCAAGCCUGAACGAGCGAUGCCGCGUGAGUGAAGAAGGCCUUCGGGUCGUAAAGCUCUGUUGCGGGGGAAAAAAGGCAGCAUCAGGAAAUGGGUGCUGACUGAUGGUGCCCCGCCAGAAAGUCACGGCUAACUACGUGCCAGCAGCCGCGGUAAUACGUAGGUGGCGAGCGUUAUCCGGAAUGAUUGGGCGUAAAGGGUGCGCAGGCGGUCCUGCAAGUCUGGAGUGAAACGCAUGAGCUCAACUCAUGCAUGGCCUUGGAAACUGGAGGACUGGAGAGCAGGAGAGGGCGGUGGAACUCCAUGUGUAGCGGUAAAAUGCGUAGAUAUAUGGAAGAACACCAGUGGCGAAGGCGGCCGCCUGGCCUGUUGCUGACGCUGAGGCACGAAAGCGUGGGGAGCAAAUAGGAUUAGAUACCCUAGUAGUCCACGCCGUAAACGAUGAGGACCAAGUGUUGGGG